rnacentral:tRNA from 1 species
CGGUCAUGGCGCAUGGGAAGCGGCGCUGUCGAACGUGCUGGCGCCGGGCGACCGGAUUCUGGUGCCCGCGACCGGCCGGUUCGGUCAUGGCUGG